CGACAGAUGGGUCGACUUCCAUGAUUUGGGUUUCGUAUUGAUGUUCGGAGAAUUUAUAUCGCCAGGAAGAAGAGAAAUUAUAUCGAAACAAAAGGACUAUGACAAUGAAAAGGCACAAGCUCGUCACGGCCGAUGAACCGGGAAUACAACAAAACCUAGGACUGUCGCACUGCCACUACACCUCAAGGUAUUCAGAAAAAAAUGAGAGACUCACCUUGGGCCAGGUGAGCUUAAAUCUGUGGGACCCUAUGACAGAGCUGAAGCUGUAGUCAACCAGCUUCAGGAUUUUCAUUGAUUAACUCCUCCUCUUCCCAUGGCAAGAACCAGAUGGUCUUCUGAAAAGUAAAGCAG